ACCUGGCUGGCUCAGUUGGUAGAGCAUGUGAUUCUUGAUCUCAGGGUUGUGAGUUUGAGCCACACAUUGGGUA
rnacentral:tRNA from 1 species